AUUGAACGCUGGCGGCAGGCCUAACACAUGCAAGUCGAGCGGAGCGGCGGACGGGUGAGUAAUGCCUAGGAAUCUGCCUGGUAGUGGGGGAUAACGUCCGGAAACGGGCGCUAAUACCGCAUACUAUCAGAUGAGCCUAGGUCGGAUUAGCGAGUGGGUGGGGUAAAGGCCUACAAAGGCGACGAUCCGUAACUGGUCUGAGAGGAUGACCAGCCACACGGGAACUGAGACAGGGUCCAGACUCCUACGGGAGUCAGCAGUGGGGAAUAUUGCACAAUGGGCGCAAGCCUGAUGCAGCCAUGCCGCGUGUAUGAAGAAGGCCUUCGGGUUGUAAAGUACUUUCAGCGGUGAGGCGGUACCCGCAGAAGAAGCACCGGCUAACUCCGUGCCAGCAGCCGCGGUAAUUC
rnacentral:rRNA from 1 species